GACGAACGCUGGCGGCGUGCCUAAUACAUGCAAGUAGAACGCACAGUUUAUACCGUAGCUUGCUACACCAUAGACUGUGAGUUGCGAACGGGUGAGUAACGCGUAGGUAACCUGCUUGGUAGCGGGGGAUAACUAUUGGAAACGAUAGCUAAUACCGCAUAAUAUUGAUUAUUGCAUGAUAAUUGAUUGAAAGAUGCUAUUGCAUCACUACCAGAUGGACCUGCGUUGUAUUAGCUAGUAGGUGAGGUAACGGCUCACCUAGGCGACGAUACAUAGCCGACCUGAGAGGGUGAUCGGCCACACUGGGACUGAGACACGGCCCAGACUCCUACGGGAGGCAGCAGUAGGGAAUCUUCGGCAAUAGACGAAAGUCUGACCGAGCAACGCCGCGUGAGUGAAGAAGGGUUUCGGAUCGUAAAGCUCUGUUGUAAGAGAAGAACGGGUGUGAGAGUGGAAAGUUCACACUGUGACGGUAUCUUACCAGAAAGGGACGGCUAACUACGUG
rnacentral:rRNA from 1 species